GGCUUCCUAGCUCAGCUGGUAGAGCGUGCACGUACAAAGCGUAGGCGGCGUCUAUGUGUGGGUUCGAAUCCCACUGAGGUUA
rnacentral:tRNA from 1 species